CUGUCCCCUUCCCCAGUACGUCUCCUAAUAAUGAGCCUAUUCUGUCUGGCCUUGUAACUCCCAACUCGACAACAGGGGUCCAUUCCUCUUGCUAGCCCUGCCGGACCAGCACUCUGAAGGAGAAAACAGAAGAGAUUAAAGCAGAGGAAAAAGGGGGUUCUGUUCAUUCUUAAACCUGGUAGUCCGUGUGUCAUCUGAGGAUGGUGUUGCUGUGUGUGGUCGUGGCCCUUUCCUUGGUGCUCCUUGGUCCCUGCCCUGGUUUCAGUGCCCCUCAGGGGAGCCCGGAGCCUGCCGAACAGCCAUACGACCUGGAGGACUUUGAUCUGAAUGGAGAGACAGAGUGGGAAAACCUGGACCUCAAUGGAGAAAACUAUGCAGAAAACUAUGACUAUGACGACUUAGACCAAGAGAUUGAGGUUGGGACAGUUGCAUCCCCGAUCUCCGAGAUUUCUCCUCCUGCCAAUGUGCCCCCUCCUGGGGAGAUGGAGGUCACCCCACCACCAAAGCCAACUCCUCAAUCCGCUACCAUAACUCUGAACUUCAAAGCACCGGGGCUCUUUGGACCAGAGACGGGCAUGGGUAUGCCCACGUGUUUGCUGUGUGUGUGCAUCAGUGGAAGUGUGUAUUGUGACGACGCUGACCUGGAGCAGAUUCCCCCUCUGCCAAAAGACACUACACAUUUCUAUGGACGUUUCAACAAGAUUCGACAUGUGAAGAACACUGACUUCAUCAACCUCAGCAAGCUGAAGCGUAUUGACCUGACAGGGAACCAGAUCUCUGGGCUGGAUGAGGAUGCAUUUCGACCCCUGCCUCAGCUCCAGGACAUUAUACUGGCGGACAACAACCUGCAGGCGUUACCAGAACUCCCAUCCACCAUGAAGUACAUUGACGUGCGCAACAACAGACUGAUCAGCCGUGGAAUACACCCAGACGCUUUCAAGGAGAUGAACCAACUGGAGUUCCUUUAUCUUUCUGAUAACAAGCUGGCCUACAUUCCCAUUCCACUGCCUGAGAGCCUCAGAGUACUACACCUUCAGAACAACAACAUCCAAACUCUCCACGUGGACACGUUCUGCAACAGCCGCGACCGUAACUACAUACGAGGACAAUUAGAGGACAUUCGGUUGGAUGGAAAUCCUGUGAACCUCAACCUGUACGCCUCCUCCUACAUCUGCCUGAGACGACUGCCUGUUGGGGGCCACUGAGGCAGGCACUAAAGGAGCAUGGAGAAGGCAUAGAGGAGGUCUGCGACAGGGAAUAGGGAGGAAGAGGUCUGCCUGUCUGACUGCUUCGUGUCUCCCCUGAAAAUGUGCCUCCUCGUUCUCAAUGACAUCAUGUCCCAGGAUGAUGAUGAUAACAGCAGCUGGGAUUCUGUGAGCCUGUUCGUCCAUCAAUAAAAUCAAGCAAUGAAUCA